rnacentral:lncRNA from 1 species
UCUUAUUUAAUUUAUUCAACAUUGAUAAUAUUACAUUGAUUUUGGAUCAAAUCCUACAAUAAAGAUGACAAAACCACCUCCCUAGUGCAUAGUAUACAAAGAUAACACUUAGAAAAAUCCACAAAGGGAAAGGAGAAUAUAGAGACAACAAAGACCAUUCCAAAAGCAAUCGACGGCCCAAAAGAGCUUUCCAAAUGGGAGAAGGCCAAAAUAGAAAAGCCAACACCACCUUCUUGAAAAAAAUACAAUGCUCACAGCAACAUCUAGAUCAUUCGAGCGGGCUAGAAGAAGAAAGUAUACUAAUGCCUUGGGACUCUUCCUCAACCUAGGCGGAGCGACUGCAAAAGAAGGCCAAAAAGGAACGGUUUGACCUUGUAGGAGAGCUCUUGGGAUGAUUUUUAGACACUAAAACUAGGCAAAAAAACUUGUUGGUGUCUAAACCUUUAAUCACUCAAGCCAUGUUGAGAAAGAUUAAGGGUGCUCCAAGCAACCUCCAAACUUACAUUAGCCACUCUAGCAUUUUGGAGACAAUGAGCAUGUUCAUCAAAAUGACUAGACUGACUAAUAAAAGGAA